rnacentral:rRNA from 1 species
AAGUAUUUUCUGCCCAAUGAUUAUAUUAAAUGGCUGCAGUAAUUUGACUGUACAAAGGUAGCAUAAUAAUUAGUCUUUUAAAUGUGGACUGGAAUGAAAGGAUAUAUGAAAUAUAUGUUUUAUUAUUUUUAUUAUUAAAAUUUUAUUUUUAAGUAAAAAAGCUUAAUUUUAUUUUUGGGACGAAAAGACCCUAUAGAAUUUAAAUAUUUUUAAAUUAUUAUAUUUUUUUGAAAAUAAUUUUUUAUAAUUUAAAUAUUUUUUUGUUGGGGGGAUAAAUAAAUUUAAACUUUAUUUUUUUAUUUCAAUAAUUAUUGAUAUUGUUGAUCCAUAUUUAGUGAUUUAAAGAAAAAAUUACCUUAGGGAUAACAGCGUAAUUAUAAUGGGGAGAUCAUAUUUAUAUUGUAGUUUGCGACCUCGAUGUUGAAUUAAGAAAAGUUAUAGGGGUAGUUUCUUUUAAUACUAAGUCUG